rnacentral:rRNA from 1 species
UACGGGGGGGGCAAGCGUUGUUCGGAAUUACUGGGCGUAAAGGGCUCGUAGGCGGCCAACUAAGUCAGACGUGAAAUCCCUCGGCUUAACUGGGGAACUGCGUCUGAUACUGGCGAGCUUGAGUGCAGGAGAGGAACGCGGAAUUCCAGGUGUAGCGGUGAAAUGCGUAGAUAUCUGGAGGAACACCGGUGGCGAAGGCGGCGUUCUGGACUGCAACUGACACUGAGAAACGAAAGCCAGGGUGGCAAACGGG